UACGAAGGGGGCGAGCGUUGUUCGGAUUUACUGGGCGUAAAGGGCGCGCAGGCGGUCAUUUUUGUCGAGUGUGAAAGCCCCGGGCUUAACCUGGGAACUGCGCUCGAAACGGGAUGACUAGAGAUCGGGAGAGGAGAGUGGAAUUCCCAGUGUAGAGGUGAAAUUCGUAGAUAUUGGGAAGAACACCGGUGGCGAAGGCGGCUCUCGUCGGACCGAGUACGUGACGCAUGA
rnacentral:rRNA from 1 species